UUCCGGUUGAUCCUGCCGGAGGCUACCGCUAUUGGAGUUCGAUUAAGCCAUGCGAGUCGUGAGUCUUAGGGACUCGGCGUACCGCUCAGUAACACGUGGGUAACCUGCCCUAUGCUGGGGAAUAACCUCGGGAAACUGAGAAUAAUACCCCAUAGUUCACCACACCUGGAACGGUGGGUGGAUGAAAGCUCCGGCGGCAUAGGAUGGGCCUGCGGCGUAUCAGGUUGUAGGGGGUGUAAUGUACCCUCUAGCCAUCUACGCGUACGGGUGUUGAGAGACAUCGCCCGGAGAUGGAUUCUGAGACACGAAUCCAGACCCUACGGGGUGCAGCAGGCACGAAAACUUGGCAAUGCGAGCAAUCGUGACCAGGGAACUCCAAGUGCAUCGGGUAAGACCGACGCUUUUCUUGACUCUUCAAAGGUCUUGGAAUAAGGGGUGGGUAAGGACGGUGCCAGCCGCCGCGGUAAUACCGGCGCCUCAAGUGGUAGUCGCUUUUAUUGGGCCUAAAACGUCCGUAGCCGGUUUGGUACAUUCGUGGGUAAAUCAAGACGCUCAACGUCUUGAAUUCCGCGAGCACGGCCAGACUUGGGACCGGGUGAGGUGUGGGGUACUCUCAGGGUAGGGGUAAAAUCCUGUCAUCCUGAGAGGACCACCUGUUGCGAAGGCGCCACACUAGAACGGAUCCGACGGUCAGGGACGAAGCCUAGGGGCACGAACCGGAUUAGAUACUCGGGUAGUCCUAGGUGUAAACGCUGUGGACUUGAUGUUGGGAGUGCUCCGAGCGCCCUCAGUGUCGAAGCGAAGGUGAUAAGUCCACUGCCUGGGGAGUACGGUCGCAAGGCUGAAACUUAAAGGAAUUGGCGGGGGAGCACUGCAACCUGAGGAUUGUGCGGUUUAAUUGGAUUCAACGCCGGAA
rnacentral:rRNA from 1 species